AUCACCUGUAUAUCUUGUCAAAAUGCAUAUUCUAAUUCAGUUGAUUUAGGGUUAGGCCUAAGAUUCUGCAUUUCUCACAAGCUUCCAGGUGAUGCUGG
rnacentral:pre_miRNA from 1 species